rnacentral:rRNA from 1 species
UACGUAGGUGGCAAGCGUUGUCCGGAAUUAUUGGGCGUAAAGCGCGCGCAGGCGGUCCUUUAAGUCUGAUGUGAAAGCCCACGGCUCAACCGUGGAGGGUCAUUGGAAACUGGGGGACUUGAGUGCAGGAGAGGAGAGUGGAAUUCCUGGUGUAGCGGUGAAAUGCGCAGAUAUCAGGAAGAACACCCGUGGCGAAGGCGGCUCUCUGGAACGCAACUGACGCUGAGACGCGAAAGCGUGGGGAGCAAACAGG